rnacentral:rRNA from 1 species
UCAGCGACGCUGCGGCGUGCCUAAUACAUGCAAGUCGAGCGAAUGAUAGGGAGCUUGCUCCCUUGAUUUAGCGGCGGACGGGUGAGUAACACGUGGGCAACCUACCUGUAAGACUGGGAUAACUUCGGGAAACCGGAGCUAAUACCGGAUAAUUUCUUUUCUCGCAUGAGAGGAGAUGGAAAGACGGUUUCGGCUGUCACUUACAGAUGGGCCCGCGGCGCAUUAGCUAGUUGGUGAGGUAAUGGCUCACCAAGGCCACGAUGCGUAGCCGACCUGAGAGGGUGAUCGGCCACACUGGGACUGAGACACGGCCCAGACUCCUACGGGAGGCAGCAGUAGGGAAUCUUCCGCAAUGGACGAAAGUCUGACGGAGCAACGCCGCGUGAACGAAGAAGGCCUUCGGGUCGUAAAGUUCUGUUGUUAGGGAAGAACAAGUACCAGAGUAACUGCUGGUACCUUGACGGUACCUAACCAGAAAGCCACGGCUAACUACGUGCCAGCAGCCGCGGUAAUACGUAGGUGGCAAGCGUUGUCCGGAAUUAUUGGGCGUAAAGCGCGCGCAGGUGGUUCCUUAAGUCUGAUGUGAAAGCCCACGGCUCAACCGUGGAGGGUCAUUGGAAACUGGGGAACUUGAGUGCAGAAGAGGAAAGUGGAAUUCCACGUGUAGCGGUGAAAUGCGUAGAGAUGUGGAGGAACACCAGUGGCGAAGGCGACUUUCUGGUCUGUAACUGACACUGAGGCGCGAAAGCGUGGGGAGCGAACAGGAUUAGAUACCCUGGUAGUCCACGCCGUAAACGAUGAGUGCUAAGUGUUAGAGGGUUUCCGCCCUUUAGUGCUGCAGCUAACGCAUUAAGCACUCCGCCUGGGAG